UUCAUCUCAUCAUGAAACCAAAUCAGAAAGGAAGAAGGGAAGAAGAGUGUGACAUGGCAUGGCUGUCCUUAGCGGAGCAACUUAUCUAGUUAAUUCCAAUAACAAAUAAGACCUAGCAUGCUAACAGUUACACAACCUCUGAGCAGCUGGUGUCCUCCAACUUCUUAGAGGGACCAGUGGCUUUCAGCCACCAGAGAUUGAGCAAUAACAAGGCUGGGAUUACCUUAGAUGUCUAGGGCU
rfam:Ovis aries breed Texel chromosome 9, whole genome shotgun sequence.